rnacentral:tRNA from 1 species
GCGAGCGUAGCUUAGUGGUAAAGCACCGCACUGUGGCUGCGGGGACCGCGGGUUCGAAUCCCGUCGCUCGCCCCA